rnacentral:rRNA from 1 species
AUUGAACGCUGGCGGCAUGCCUUACACAUGCAAGUCGAACGGCAGCACGGGUGCUUGCACCUGGUGGCGAGUGGCGAACGGGUGAGUAAUACAUCGGAACGUACCUUAUCGUGGGGGAUAACGCAGCGAAAGUUGCGCUAAUACCGCAUACGCCCUGCGGGGGAAAGCGGGGGACCGUAAGGCCUCGCGCGAUUAGAGCGGCCGAUGUCUGAUUAGCUUGUUGGUGAGGUAAGAGCUCACCAAGGCGAUGAUCAGUAGCUGGUCUGAGAGGACGAUCAGCCACACUGGGACUGAGACACGGCCCAGACUCCUACGGGAGGCAGCAGUGGGGAAUUUUGGACAAUGGGGGCAACCCUGAUCCAGCAAUGCCGCGUGAGUGAAGAAGGCCUUCGGGUUGUAAAGCUCUUUUGUCAGGGAAGAAACAGCAGCUCUAACACAGUCUGCGAAUGACGGUACCUGAAGAAUAAGCACCGGCUAACUACGUGCCAGCAGCCGCCGUAA